UACGUAGGUGACAAGCGUUGUCCGGAUUUACUGGGCGUAAAGAGCGCGCAGGCGGUCGUUCAAGUCGAGUGUGAAAGCCCCCGGCUCAACUGGGGAGGGUCAUUCGAUACUGAUCGACUCGAAGGCAGGAGAGGGAAGUGGAAUUCCCGGUGUAGUGGUGAAAUGCGUAGAUAUCGGGAGGAACACCAGUGGCGAAGGCGGGGUCUCUGGACAGUUCCUGACGCUGAGGCACGAAGGUCAGGGGAGCAAAGCGGG
rnacentral:rRNA from 1 species